rnacentral:rRNA from 1 species
UACGGAGGGUGCGAGCGUUGUCCGGAAUCACUGGGCGUAAAGGGCGCGUAGGCGGCGCGGGUAGUCAACGGUGAAAGCUUGGGGCUCAACCCCGAGUCGGCCGUCGAUACUCCCGUGCUUGAGCACCGUAGAGGCAGGUGGAAUUCCGGGUGUAGCGGUGGAAUGCGUAGAGAUCCGGAAGAACACCAAUGGCGAAAGCAGCUCUCUGGGACGGUACUGACGCUGAGACGCGAAAGCGUGGGGAGCGAACAGG